UACGUAGGGAGCAAGCGUUGUCCGGAUUUAUUGGGCGUAAAGAGCUCGUAGGCGGUUUAGAAAGUCAGGUGUGAAACCUCCAGGCUCAACCUGGAGACGCCACUUGAUACUUCUAUGACUUGAGUUCGGUAGGGGACCAUGGAAUUCCUGGUGUAGCGGUGAAAUGCGCAGAUAUCAGGAGGAACACCGAUGGCGAAGGCACUUUACUGGGCUAUUACUAACACUCAGAGACGAAAGCUAGGGUAGCAAAUGGG
rnacentral:rRNA from 1 species